CCUACGGGUGGCAGCAGUGAGGAAUAUUGGUCAAUGGGCGAGAGCCUGAACCAGCCAAGUCGCGUGAAGGAUGACGGCCCUACGGGUUGUAAACUUCUUUUGUCAGGGAGCAAAUGGGUCCACGCGUGGGCUUAGCGAGAGUACCUGAAGAAAAAGCAUCGGCUAACUCCGUGCCAGCAGCCGCGGUAAUACGGAGGAUGCGAGCGUUAUCCGGAUUUCUUGGGUUUAAAGGGUGCGUAGGCGGAAUUUGAAGUCGGCGGUCACAAGUCGGGGCUCAACCCCGUCGGGCCGUUGAAACUGGGGUUCGUGAGUGGGCGAGAAGUAUGCGGAAUGCGUGGUGUAGCGGUGAAAUGCAUAGAUAUCACGCAGAACUCCGAUUGCGAAGGCAGCAUACCGGCGCCCAACUGACGCUGAGGCACGAAAGCGUGGGUAUCGAACAGGAUUAGAUACCCCAGUAGUC
rnacentral:rRNA from 1 species